GAUGAACGCUGGCGGCGUGCCUAAUACAUGCAAGUCGAACGAACGGACGAUAAGCUUGCUUCUCUGAUGUUAGCGGCUGACGGGUGAGUAACACGUGGAUAACCUACCUAUAAGACUGGGAUAACUUCGGGAAACCGUAGCUAAUACCGGAUAAUAUUUUGAACCGCAUGGUUCAAAAGUGAAAGACGGUCUUGCUGUCACUUAUAGAUGGAUCCGCGCUGCAUUAGCUAGUUGGUAAGGUAACGGCUUACCAAGGCAACGAUGCAUAGCCGACCUGAGAGGGUGAUCGGCCACACUGGAACUGAGACACGGUCCAGACUCCUACGGGAGGCAGCAGUAGGGAAUCUUGCGCAAUGGGCGCAAGCCUGACGGAGCAACGCCGCGUGAGUGAUGAAGGUCUUCGGAUCGUAAAACUCUGUUAUUAGGGAAGAAAAUAUGUGUAAGUAACUGUGCACAUCUUGACGGUACCUAAUCAGAAAGCCACGGCUAACUACGUG
rnacentral:rRNA from 1 species